UCUUAGCAAACAUAAACAUAAUGAACUUCAACAAAUAUUUCGCUUUCUUGGCCAUUUUGGUCUUGUGCAUUUUGGGUCAACAAGCUACCGAAGCUCAUCAUCAUCAUGGUUUUGGAAGAAUCGGACAUGAAUUGGACAAAGGUGUGAAAAAAGUUGCCAAAGUAGCUUCCGAUGUUAGUAAAGCUAAAACUGUGAUUGAGGCUGGUUCUGCUAUUGCCGGUGCUGUCGCAGCUGCCUAAUUUUAGGAGACUAAAUGGAAUAUUUCUUUUUGAUUUGAUGUAUAGAAAAACUAAUAAAAUAAAAAACUAAAUGCAAUUAGAUAUUGCAUAGAAAAAAUUA